rnacentral:rRNA from 1 species
GACGAACGCUGGCGGCGUGCUUAACACAUGCAAGUCGAACGGAAAGGCCCUGCUUUUGUGGGGUGCUCGAGUGGCGAACGGGUGAGUAACACGUGAGUAACCUGCCCUUGACUUUGGGAUAACUUCAGGAAACUGGGGCUAAUACCGGAUAGGAGCUCCUGCUGCAUGGUGGGGGUUGGAAAGUUUCGGCGGUUGUGGAUGGACUAGCUGCUUAUCAGCUUGUUGGUGGGGUAGUGGAUUACCAAGGCUUUGACGGGUAGCCGGCCUGAGAGGUUGAACAGCCACAUGGGGCCUGAGAGACGGACCAGAAUGCAACGGGCGGCAGCGGGCGGGAGCAUUACGCAAUAGGCGGAAGCCUGAGGUGACGGCCCUGCGUGCGUAAUGACCUGCUUCGAGUUAUGAACCGCUUUCGACGGAGACGAAGAGUGCGUGACGGUAAUGGGUAAAGAAGCACCGGCUAACUACGUG